UGUUAGUACUUUUGCAAUGUUAGCUUGUUAAUUUGGUCAGGUCUGGAAAGAAGCAGCCACAAUAGGUAAUACAUGUGCUGGAAUGCAACUAACAGGG
rnacentral:SRP_RNA from 1 species